ACUCCUACGGGAGGCAGCAGUGGGGAAUUUUGCGCAAUGGGCGAAAGCCUGACGCAGCAACGCCGCGUGAGUGAUGAAGGCUUUCGGGUCGUAAAGCUCUGUCGAGGGGAAAGAAGUGUACGGGGGCUAAUAUCCUCUGUACUUGACGGUACCCCUAAAGGAAGCACCGGCUAACUCCGUGCCAGCAGCCGCGGUAAUACGGGGGGUGCAAGCGUUGUUCGGAUUUAUUGGGCGUAAAGCGCGUGUAGGCGGUUUUAUAAGUCUGAUGUGAAAGCCCUGGGCUCAACCCGGGAAGUGCAUUGGAUACUGUAAGACUUGAAUACGGGAGAGGGCAGUGGAAUUCCUAGUGUAGGAGUGAAAUCCGUAGAUAUUAGGAGGAACACCGGUGGCGAAGGCGGCUGCCUGGACCGAUAUUGACGCUGAGACGCGAAAGCGUGGGUAGCAAACAGGAUUAGAUACCCUGGUAGUCCACGCCGUAAACGAUGAGAACUAGGUGUCGCGGGUA
rnacentral:rRNA from 1 species